rnacentral:snRNA from 1 species
GUGCUUGCUUCGACAGUACAUGUACUAAAAUUGGAGCGAUACAGAGAAGAAUAUCAUGGCCCCUGUGCGUAAGUUGCAGAAUGAGGAAGAUGUGGUGUGUAUAC